GAUGAACGCUGGCAGCGUGCCUAAUACAUGCAAGUCGAGCGAACGGACGAGAAGCUUGCUUCUCUGAUGUUAGCGGCGGACGGGUGAGUAACACGUGGAUAACCUACCUAUAAGACUGGGAUAACUUCGGGAAACCGGAGCUAAUACCGGAUGAUAUUUUGAACCGCAUGGUUCAAAAGUGAAAGACGGUCUUGCUGUCACCUAUAGAUGGAUCCGCGCUGCAUUAGCUAGUUGGUAAGGUAACGGCUUACCAAGGCAACGAUGCAUAGCCGACCUGAGAGGGUGAUCGGCCACACUGGAACUGAGACACGGUCCAGACUCCUACGGGAGGCAGCAGUAGGGAAUCUUCCGCAAUGGGCGAAAGCCUGACGGAGCAACGCCGCGUGAGUGAUGAAGGUCUUCGGAUCGUAAAACUCUGUUAUUAGGGAAGAACAUAUGUGUAAGUAACUGUGCACAUCUUGACGGUACCUAAUCAGAAAGCCACGGCUAACUACGUG
rnacentral:rRNA from 1 species